rnacentral:rRNA from 1 species
UACGUAGGUGGCAAGCGUUGUCCGGAAUUAUUGGGCGUAAAGCGCGCGCAGGCGGCCUUUUAAGUCUGAUGUGAAAGCCCACGGCUCAACCGUGGAAGGUCAUUGGAAACUGAAAGGCUUGAGUACAGAAGAGGAAAGCGGAAUUCCACGUGUAGCGGUGAAAUGCGUAGAGAUGUGGAGGAACACCAGUGGCGAAGGCGGCUUCUGGUCUGUAACUGACGCUGAGGCGCGAAAGCGUGGGGAGCAAACAGG